GAAAGAGGCGGGCGGAGGACGCAGGGGCGGGCCUGCGGCUCAGGCAGGAAGCGGGAAGGCCGGGCCUCCCUGGCCCCGCCCCGGCCGGGCGGCCGGACCUCGGACGACUUGGCGCUCCGGGACAGCAGCAGACGCCCAAGCUCCGGCAGCGCAGAGCCCCGCCGGGGGCCCGGGGGGCUGGGAGCCGGGGAUCGCGGGGACGGAAGUGGGGGACCGAGUCUCGCGAGCCCGGGCCCUCCUCGCAGCUGGGGCCCCACUGGCGCCCCCGCGGGAGCGCUACGGGAGAGGCGCCUAUGCGGCUGCAGGUUUUAUUAUGGAGCUGUCAAGGUAGAAAGAGUUUGACUCUUCCACAAUAAUUUGGCACCCAGCGUGGGGCCUCAGAGAAGACUCAGGACCCCAAAGGAGUUGCCUGAACUCGGAGCGAAGAUACCAGUGGGGCCCAUUGAAGCCUCCCAGACUUCUAGCUUCUCCCCCGAUGGAACUGGUUAAGUUCUCCUGAGCCCCAGAUCGCCCUUUGGUUGACAGUCCUUCGUUUAGUGUGAGCUGGUUUUUCUCCUAGGAAGUUGUUGUUUAAGGAUUCUAAUUCUAGUUCAGAGACACAUUCUAAAGGGUUUUCUUUAUUGCUUUUUCUCCCAAAAUUAAUCUUGAUUCGGCUUGUCUGCGCAUUUGUGUGAGGAAUUGAACUGUUGUUUUCAUAGGUAAAUGAGAGACUGAGUUUUCUCAACUCCAAAGAGAAAGGCAUUUGCUCCUCCCAGCCAAAACGUGCUCCUGGGUGACUGGGGGCCUUGUGGGAGUGUCUGGGGGGGGGUUGACAUCCUGUGACAUGCAGCAGCCCUAUGGGGAAAUCCCCAACAAAAAUUAAUUUUAAAAAUGGCUUGUCCAGGAAUGCAUAUAAGGACUGAUCACCCAUCAUUUUGAGCCCUCUCAAAGGUAAUAGACCUCUGGAGAGAGAAACUGAGACAUGUAACAGGGUGGAAACAACUCAGUGGUGACACAUGGUGGGGUCCUGCCCACAAGCAGCACACAUUGAUCCACCACACAAAAACCCUAGGCCACAGCUCAGUUCCUACUUCUAAGAAAAAAAAAGGUGGGAAACAAAUGAUCUAAGAAUGAGGAGAAAACAAGGAGAAUGACCUCAUUUCGGGCACUCUGUUGGUUUUAUGGUGCGUCUACUUGCCAGAGCUUAUGUAAAAUGGAAAUAUAAUGAUCCUUGUGCACAUUUACAUUAAGGAAAAGAGCCCUAAGGUCAACCUGUACACUAUAGAGUUCCUAAGUUCUCUUCUUCUCUAUAUUUUCUGCCUGCUUUAAAUCUGCUUUUACUUUUGUACUGAAAUUAAAAACCACUGUUUGGAUCUAA
rnacentral:lncRNA from 1 species